rnacentral:rRNA from 1 species
UUACCCGCUGAAAUUUAAGCAUAUAACUAACCGGAAGGAAAAGAAACUAACUAGGAUUCCCUCAGUAAGGGCGACUGAAGCGGGAAGAGAUCACCUUGUGAAUCUGUACAGACCUUGUUCUGUGCCGAGUUGUGGUGUGAAGAAGCAUUCUCUGUCAGCACUCUGGUUUAAGUUCCUUGGAAAAGGACAGCAAAGAGGGUGAAACUCCCGUUCUUGGCUACUGUGUUUGACUUUAGCAGGUGUCUUCAACGAGUCGAGUUGCUUGGGAUUGCAGCUCAAAGUGGGACGUAAAUUCGUUCUAAAUCUAAAUAUUGGUGGGAGACCGAUAGCGUACAAGUACCGUGAGGGAAAGAUGCAAAGAACUUUGAAAAGAGAGUUAAAGAGUACCUGAAAUUGCUGAAAGGGAAGCGAAGGAAACCAGUGCUUAGUUCUACUAUUUUUCUCCUACUGCUUGCAGUUGGGGCGCUGUGGUAGUUCUGAUGCCAGCAUGGGUUGGGCUCGGGAUAAGUAGCCUUGCAGAAGGUGAGUUCUCUGGAACUGAAGACUGCUUGGUGUUAUCUUGGGCUUGACUGAGGCUAGUCACUUGUGCUCGUGAUGCUGGCAAAAUGGUUUUCUUUACCCCGUCUUGAAACACGGACCAAGGAGUCUAACAUAUGUGCGAGUAUAGAAGUGAUAAACUUCCAUGCGUAAUGAAAGUAACAGUGGUAGGACCUUUUGGACACUAUCCACCGGCCACAAUCCUUCGGGAGAAAGGUCUGAGUGUGAGCAUACAUGUUGGGACCCGAAAGAUGGUGAACUUUUCCUGAAUAGGGUGAAGCCAGGGGAAACUCUGGUGGAAG